rnacentral:rRNA from 1 species
GACGAACGCUGGCGGCGUGCUUAACACAUGCAAGUCGAACGGAAAGGCCUGCUUUCCCUUGUGGAUUGCGGGUACUCGAGUGGCGAACGGGUGAGUAACACGUGAGUGAUCUGCCCCCAACUUGGGUAUAAGCCUGGGAAACUGGGUCUAAUUCCCGAUAGGACUGCAGGGUGGUGCCUGUGGUGGAAAACGAUUUUCUAGUGGUUGGGGAUGAGCUCGCGGCCUAUCAGCUUGUUGGUGGGGUAAUGGCCUACCAAGGCGGCGACGGGUAGCCGGCCUGAGAGGGUGGACGGCGACAUUGGGACUGAGCUACGGCCCAGACUCCUACGGGAGGCAGCAGUGGGGAAUAUUGCACAAUGGGCGGAAGCCUGAUGCAGCGACGCCGCGUGGGGGAUGACGGCCUUCGGGUUGUAAACUCCUUUCGACCGCGAGGAAGCCACCUGGUUGGAAGGGUGGUGACGGUAGUGGUAGAAGAAGCACCGGCUAACUACGUG